UGCACUUAAAUGGGGAUGUAGCUCAGUGGUAGAGCGCAUGCUUUGCAUGUAUGAGGUCCUGGGUUCAAUCCCCAGCAUUGCAA